UACGUAGGGGGCAAGCGUUGUCCGGAAUUAUUGGGCGUAAAGCGCGUGUAGGCGGCCAGAUAAGUCCGCUGUGAAAUCUCGAGGCUCAACUUCGAGCUGUCGGUGGAAACUGUCUGGCUAGAGUCCGGAAGAGGAGAAUGGAAUUCCUGGUGUAGCGGUGAAAUGCGCAGAUAUCAGGAAGAACACCCGUGGCGAAGGCGGCAUUCUGGACCGACAUUGACGCUGAGGAGCGAAAGCCAGGGGAGCAAACGGG
rnacentral:rRNA from 1 species